rnacentral:lncRNA from 1 species
ACGGUUGUUACUCAGGGUGUGGUGCUAAUGAGAGACAGUGUGGUAGACCAUACAGGUUGUUACUCAGGGUGUGGUGCUAAUGAGAGACAGUGGGGAAGACCAUACAGGUUGUUACUCAGGGUGUGGGUGCUAAUGAGAGACAGUGUGGUAGACCAUACAGGUUGUUACUCAGGGUUGUGUGCUAAUGAGAGACAGUGUGUAGACCAUACAGGUUGUUACUCAGGGGGUGGUGCAAGGAGAGACAGUGUGGUAGACCAUACAGGUUGUUACUCAGGGUGUGGUGCUAUGAGAGCAGUGGGUAAACCAAAGUUGUUACUCAGGUGUGGUGCAAUGAAGACACUGUAGUAACCUACAGGUUGUUACUCAGGGUGUGGUGCUAUGAGAGACAGUGUAAGACCAUACGGGUGUUACCAGGUGUGUGCUAAUGAGAGACAGUGUUAGACCAUACAGGUUGUUACUCAGGUGUGGUGCUAAUGAGAGACAGUGUGGUAGACCAUACAGGUUGUUACUCCAGGGUGUGGUGUGCUGUGGUCAAUGUCAGGGUGUGGUGUGCCGUGGUCAAUGAAAAACAGAUGUAAAACCAGCAAACAACUGGAAAACUGGACAAGCUUUUUUCAACUACAGUAGGUAUAAUGAA